GUAGUCGAUGGGAAACAGGUUAAUAUUCCUGUACUUGGUGUUACUGCGAAGGGGGGACGGAGAAGGCUAUGUUGGCCGGGCGACGGUUGUCCCGGUUUAAGCGUGUAGGCUGGUUUUCCAGGCAAAUCCGGAAAACCAAGGCUGAGGCGUGAUGACGAGGCACUACGGUGCUGAAGCGACAAAUGCCCUGCUUCCAGGAAAAGCCUCUAAGCAUCAGGUAACAUCAAAUCGUACCCCAAACCGACACAGGUGGUCAGGUAGAGAAUACCAAGGCGCUUGAGAGAACUCGGGUGAAGGAACUAGGCAAAAUGGUGCCGUAACUUCGGGAGAAGGCACGCUGAUAUGUAGGUGAAGCGACUUGCUCGUGGAGCUGAAAUCAGUCGAAGAUACCAGCUGGCUGCAACUGUUUAUUAAAAACACAGCACUGUGCAAACACGAAAGUGGACGUAUACGGUGUGACGCCUGCCCGGUGCCGGAAG
rnacentral:rRNA from 1 species